CUUAAAUCAGACAUUAUUAUGGAGUUCCAAUCUAAAACCGCAACUACAGAAACUUUUUAUUUUUAUUGUUAAUUUAUAAUUCAAUUUUUUUCAUAAAUCGGAUGUGUAACAGAUUUUAAGUGCAAUUAUCAACGAUUUAUCAACAAACAGGUAGCAUCAAAGCACAUUAAAUCUUUUUCUGUCAUAGCUGAGUUUUCCGAGGAAAAUAUGGCUCAACUUCAAAAAGGUGAAAACUCUUUUGAGAGUAGUUAUGUUGAAAAAAAUGCUGUUUGAAUGUGAAAUAUCCUCUGCUUUAACUCAAGGAGAAGUUGGAGCAGGCAUAAAAGACAAAUCUUAUAAAUUGGAGGUAUGUUUUCAAACAGAAGUAAUCUUGUAAUAAAACAAAAUAAAGGAUUUAGGUAAAUGUUUGUCCAAAAAUAAAAACUUUAAUAUUGACUGUGAUUAUGGAAUUUUAAAUGCCCAGUGUUUUUGUCCAAGAGGAUAAGCAGUUUGUCACUAUAUGGUCUACAUGCUCACUAUAAUAUCAGUGUGACUGAUAAAGCAAGUAAGUGGAAUCAGAAGAAACCUUUAAAUAGUGAAGAAGUCGAAGAACUUUGUGAUAUAUAUAAGCCAAAAAAGAAUGGAUACAUGGCUGUUGGUAGAUAGGCCACAGGUACUGAAAAUUCUUUUAAUGACUUAAGUAUUCUUUUGAAAAUCAAAUUCGUUGUAUUCCGUCACAUUGUUAAUUAUUUGAUAUGGGACACCGUGUAUUAAGUGUUGUAUGUCAAUUACCAGAAAUUAUAAUUAUUAUUUAAAUGGCCGUUUUUCAUAUUCCAUUAAAAAUAUUUUUUUGUAUCUGCUGAUAUUUGUACACCCUCGUACUUACAGGAUUUUAAUGGGGGUAUAAUUUUUCAUGAAUUAUCGUGAGGCACGUAAUUUCAUUGGUAUAUGACAUUGGAGAGUUCAUUAAGGGUUGAAAUAGUUUUGACAUGAUUCUCACACUCAAAAUACUUUCACUGCAAAAACGUUCUAUUGAAAAAAUAUCAAUUCUCAGAGAGAAUGUAGAAAUUAAGUCUAAAAAAUGUUCCAGUGGAAUGUAUAUUUUGAAAAAAGUUAAAUGCCGAAUUUUUUUCUUGAAAUCCUAGUUUGAUAUCUAACGUGCUUAUAGCUCUUACUUGUAAGCAGUUAGCAGUAGUUAGUUAUAUCCAGAAUCUCCAACUACCACUCUUUCAUACAGUAAAUGCUAAGAUUAAAAGCGAAGAAAUUUUUGCUCAUUUUUUCAAGAUUUAACUCACCAAAUGACACUAAAACCAGAAAAAGGCCACAACAUUGUGUGCUAGAUAACACCUCCCCGUACAUUCACUUCUAGCCCUGGGGUCUGUCACUACAUCAUCCAUCCAUCUCAACUUUGAUCCCGACCUCUUCCCAGUGUUGUAAAUUUGCGCACUUGAGAUUUUUAUUUUAGACUUUGCAAUUUUAUGAAUUCUACUUUGUCUUCUUGCUUAAAUAUAUCGUUCAUUUAUAGAUUGUUUCAUUUGCGCCAAUCCGUUUUGUUCAUCCCAAUCUUCAUGAUCAGAACUGUCACUACAGUACAUUGUCAUUGUUUCAUAGAUUUUUCUUUUGAUUAACAAGAGGAAAUUUUAAUUAGCAAAAUAUGCUUUUUCCCAACUAGAUUCUUUCUCUAAUAGCAUUACUGGUUUUCCUUAUGUUGUCCAUAAUCCCACAAAGAUAUUUAAACUUUUAAACUAAAUAUUUUGUCUUCUAUCUCCAGGUCUUUGACUUGUCUUCUUUCUUCCGCCGAUGAGUUUUUAUUUGAUUGCAUAUAAUUUUUCGUCAUGUCUUACUUUCCUUUGUUUCUUAUUUUCUUCCUCUCUCUUGAAUCCUCUGCUUUUUCACAUUUUCAAUCUAUUUUAUGAAGGCUAUUUACACAGCUCACAACUGUAUGUUCUUUGGUACUGCUUUUUCUCAAAGAAGAUGCUUUGAUUUCAUUAAAUAAUUUAGCAACUAUUACUAAAUAUUCUAUUUUCUUACCUGGAAACCUCGCUCUACUUCGUGGGGAUUAAAUAGAAAAAUUCCUGUCGCUCGGAAACCGCUAAUCGUUUCGGCAUUAGUUUGUAUUUUUUCUGAUAAGUUGCGGGAAAAAGCUUUCGAUCAAUGAGGAUAUUCAAGCUUGCCUCGCUGGCCUGAAUAAACUAACAAUCAAACAAGGUGACAACAUUGCCCAUUUCUUUUUAUCUCAGAUUAAACAUAAUUACGUUGGUAGGGAAGCAUCACAGCAUACAGUGACCGUUGGGACACUUUCACAGUGUUGCCAAAGUUAUAUAAUAAAUAUAAUUACGACCUUACGUUUGGGCAAAGUUGUAAAAUUUGUGUAUUUAAAAAAAAAUUGAUGCAAUAUUACUAAAAAUAUUAUUCACGAGAUGAAGUUUACAUGAACCACCGAGUGAAUAAUGACUCAUUAUACGCGAGUAGAAUACUAUACAUUAUCCACGGCUAACUGAAGAUUUUGGUUGAAGUUUUUUUGUUAGAAAAUCCAUAAUAAUCAAAACAAUGAUUAGUUUAACAAUUAUCGAGUAUCUAAUGUUAUGAGAGCUCUUUUUGUAUUUUUUUUUUCUGGAAAACGAAAUUUCAAAGCAAAAACCAUGAGAGAAAAUAAACUCUUUGCAAAUAAGAUAAAAGAAAAAAACAUUUUGCUAAAAGGAAUAAGAAAAUUUUUUUUAGACGUAAAUGCUAAAAUUUGACCUCUGUUGCUACAACUAUUGGAGUCGUCGCGAGUGGUAAGAUGCCUUGUCCAUAAAGAUUAUUGAUUAUGGUGAAAUUUUAGGUAAAAGCUGUUCAUUAAACCACUUUUCGAAUAUAUCUGCUGUCAUAUCUUCAUGAUAAUCAAUACAGUUGUAGUUGAUUCGGCAAUUUUUGAUUGCAUUAUCGGAUUGCGGAAUAUUUUCAUUUGUUAAACAUUCAAAUAUAUUUUAAAUAAUUUGUUGUGUUUGUGAAUCUAAAUCUUUAUUAAUAAAUUCAUACCAGUCUUUAUUUUCACUACACUGUGCAAUUUCAUUUUUAUUAAUUAUUUAUGAAUUAAAUUAAUCUCACCAAGCCACGCCACUGCUUAUCGCAGACUUUUUGACAGGAAUAUUUCGAAGAAAUUAUGUACAUACGCCUUCCGACAGUUUCGGCCAAUAGAAAUACGUUUAUAUUUACGAUUCGAUGUUUUUAAUGGUAAACAGUGGAGAUGAUGAGUCCACGUGGACUGACGUUUUACCUGAAUUUUAUAAGUGUCUUCUGCAAUUGAUAUUAGAAGAACUAUACCUAAAUCUGGUGUGUUAGUCAUAUCCAGGGUAUACAUGAUGAACCUUGGAUUUUGUUGAGUUUCUUCUACAACCAGAAUAUGAGGUCUCUUCGACUGUAGAUGCUGGUGUACUGUGUUUAUAUUCAUAUAUUGCAGAAAAUUUGUUUUGCCUAAUAGAUCCUCCAGACAAGCUUCCACCCGGUAAUCCGAACGGGAGGCUAGUUUAAUUCCGAAAUAUUUUGAUCUAGAAGGUGCCAUCAUGAUAUAUAUUUUUUCUUUCUUCCACUUUGUAAUCAUCGCACGAAACUUGGAACUUUUAGAGCCAAUUCACGUCGCCUAGAUCCGAUGUGGUGGCAUCUCACUGGGCGAUGCGAAAGGGACAAUCUACCACCACAAUACACAAAUACAGUGCGUCUAAUAAUGUGGCAAGGGCUUGUAUAAAACUCGAUUGAAAAGAUCGUUUCUUAUAAAUCAAUACAGUCCAUUCACAUAAUCUCCUUUCGUACAGAUACAGAACCAAAGGAUUUAUUUUGUAUCCCUUUCUUGCUGCGAUACUCGAGAGACCUGUUUCUUUCAAAAAGUGGGAUGGCUUUAGCUACCAGAGAUCUUCGUCUUCUAUUUCAGGUGUAGUGGUCUUACACUUCGAGAGAAUGUGGAUACAGGUUUCGUCCUCUACGUAGAAGAUUCUACAAGAUGCAUUUUCUGCUAAAUCUACCGUCUUCAGGUGUCUAUUGGAGCAACAAGACUUCUUUUACUUACGCUGAUACAUUCAGUAGAUCUUUUCUGUUUAUAGUUUCCUGGGAAUGUCUUUGCUAGUCUCAACUCCUGUAGAUUGUCCCAGUAACUUGUUUUACCCUUAUCUAUCAUCUUCCUAUUGUUUUGUAGUUGAUACUACAAAAGGGUUCAUGUCCUACGAAGGAUUUGUCUACCACUACUUUAGCGAGUCCAUCAAUAAUUUUCCGUUUCCCUCAUUUUUCUUGUCUAGCUCGUUUAACUUAUCCAAAUUAGUUUGGAUUUUAUGAUAUUAGAGCUUAGAGCUCCAAUGACAAUCUCCUGUUUGCGAUAAUUCAUAAGUUCCUUUAUUUCAAAGUUCAUGGUACUUUUUGUAAAAAUUUCUAAUAUUAUGCGUGUUUGAGGUUAGGUUAAUUAUACGGGCAAAAAUUUUGAAUUAUUAACUUUAUUAGAUUAUGUUAGUAUGUGCGUGGAUGAGGUUAAAAGGUUGAAUUUAAUAAAUUUGUUGAAGAGUAUGUACCAACCAAUUUAGGAUGAAUCCUCAAUUUUCGUAAGUAAUUGACGAUUGAACGAUUAUAGUCAUAAUUAAUCCUCACAAUUUGAAAUCAUUUACAAUCUUACAGGGUUUUCCAGAAUGCUGUAUAAAUUCAAAGUUAUAUUUGACUUUUUCAUUACAAUCUUAUGCAGACCCUAUUUAACACUGAUCUGCAUUAAAAUCGAUCAGGUCACCAUUCUUGACGAUUCCUAUUAAAAAUGACCAAAUUGAAUAAAUGUCUAUAAGUUUAUUAUUAUUUACGCAAAGUGGUAAAAAUAGAAUGGCGGGAUCCCCUGAAGAAUAGUGUUCGAUGGAAGAAAAUUUUUCUUGCAGACCAGUGUAAUUAACGAAUUUGACUUUUCAGAAUUAUAACAGUUAUGUUUUUAGGGUUGUAGUGGAAGUUAUGAAAAUAAAAUCUAUUAUAUGGUGGGUAAUAGAUAGUUGGUUCUAUAACUCACAUCUGCGCCAGACAUAUCUAUGAAGAAGUGGAUGAAAAACACAUUCAGAAUCUAGGAAAUGAAUUAAUGGGAUCUAAUUACAUAAGAAAUUUCAUUUUACUUUUGGAAGAAUAUAUAAAAAAGGUAGUCAAUCAGGUUGCAGCCCGAAAGGAGAACGAAUUUUUUUGAUUGUUUAAUUUGAUUUUUUUUAAUUAAAUAUAUUUUUCUCUACAAAA